GAAUACCUAGUAUUACAGCCGUUUUACUAGGAGGUACCUAUACCUGUGUAGAUGCUUCUUUCAAAUGUGUCCUAUUUGGAGUUUGCUGACCUUUAGUAAUCUAUAAAUAUAGGCCUUUCACCAGAUUUGGAAAGUUUUGGUCAUCAUUUCUUCAAAUAAUUUUUGUCUCAAAUUUUUCCUUUGUUUCUAGGACUCCAAUUACCUAAUUAAGGUGUUAGACCUUUUGAAAUGUUCCACUGUUCUCUGGGGCUCAGUUUGUACUUUUCCUUUUUUUUUUUGAGAUGGAGUCUCCUCUGUCACCAGGCUGGAGUGCACUGGUGCAGUCUUGGCUCACUGCAACCUCCGCCUCCUGGGUUCAAGCAAUUCUCCUGCCUCAGCCUCCCAAAUAGCUGGGAUUACAAGCACAUACCACCAUGCCCAGCUAAUUUUUGUAUUUUUAGUAGAGAUGGGUUUUCACCAUGUUGGCCAGGCCGGUCUUGAACUCCUGAC
rnacentral:lncRNA from 1 species